AUUGAACGCUGGCGGCAUGCCUUACACAUGCAAGUCGAACGGCAGCACGGGUGCUUGCCCCUGGUGGCGAGUGGCGAACGGGUGAGUAAUACAUCGGAACAUGUCCUGUAGUGGGGGAUAGCCCGGCGAAAGCCGGAUUAAUACCGCAUACGAUCUACGGAUGAAAGCUGGGGACCUUCGGGCCUCGCGCUGUUGGGUUGGCCGAUGGCUGAUUAGCUAGUUGGUGGGGUAAGGGCCUACCAAGGCGACGACCAGUAGCUGGUCUGAGAGGACGACCAGCCACACUGGGACUGAGACACGGCCCAGACUCCUACGGGAGGCAGCAGUGGGGAAUUUUGGACAAUGGGCGAAAGCCUGAUCCAGCAAUGCCGCGUGUGUGAAGAAGGCCUUCGGGUUGUAAAGCACUUUUGUCCGGAAAGAAAUACUUGGCCCUAAUACGGUCGGGGGAUGACGGUACCGGAAGAAUAAGCACCGGCUAACUACGUG
rnacentral:rRNA from 1 species